GUUCCUGCUGGGCUGCUUGAAGUGGUGUCAAGUUGGUUCAAUUAGACGCGUAAACACGUCCUAGCAAAUCCAUGUACCCGCCUUCUUUGCAUCGUGAGAGGGGUACAGUUGUUAAACGUGCACAAGGUGUCUUGAUCAUGCUGAUUAUUGUGAAGCACUCUGCAAGUGUUAACAAUAGAUACGACGUGUGAGAGGAAGCGUGGAUCGCGCGCCUCUGGAGUUCUUCAAGGUUGAGGACCCUGGAAUUUAAAUCCAAAUGUAUUCUUCAAACCCUAAUGCUGAACAAUACUCACAAUAUAGGCAACAGAAAUUGAUCAUCAAACCUCGACUGAAACGUUUGCAAACAAAUUAAAGGCGGGUCAUAAUAUCGAUCGGUCGGCAAGAUUUGUUGUUGCGAUACCUUCGAAGCUCCUGUCAUUGAACAUCCUUUUCCUGUAGGAUAAACAGCUCUGCUGCAAAUGGAUAAUCAAGAGCACUGUGUUGCUUUCAUGUCGUGACGUCUGUACAAAUCAAUAGAUCAUGUGCAGUUGCCAAUAUGAAGGAUCAACUAAUUAGAGUGAUUAAUUGUGGAGUCAACAAUAUAUCGAAGUUGAACAGAUGUAGCCAUUUGACUGUGUGAACGAUAUUGAGCGUCAUUGUGCUUGUGGCAGGUUGAAGGUUUGCAAAUUUGCGGAAAUUUUAUCAGUAGGUUAAUGUCUUUGAAUAGCCUCACAUAGGUUGGUGAGAUAGCAGACUUUUCUGCACAUGAUGGUUCUCUACGAUAUUCAGGUUUUGUACUAUCAACACCUGGAGAGUAGAGGAUUAGACGCCGAGAUCUGUUCUUGUUUGAUAUAUUUGUAUGAUACUCUGUCAACAUUGUAUAUCAGUACUUUAGCAUGUAAAAUUGGCUUCUGAGCCACAGAAAGUCUGGGUACUUUUAAUGAAGCGUGUUGCAUUUGCAUGGAUUCUUCCUCAAAGUUUCAGGGGCAGUGCUGCUAAGGCAAUAAGUGAGAAUGUUUAGAUAUACCAGAUUGAAGAAAGAUCAAACUAGAAGAAUGAUGUGCUGCCAUAAUGUUUUCUAUUUUGAUGUGGAAAAACCAAGUGUUUUACACUGCUCUUGAUAGAUAAUCAAAGUCUGACUGCUCUAGGGACAUUAUGUCAUUGGAGUAUCAGUCAAACGCCACCAAGGGUACUCAAUUCAUGCCCAUAAGCAGAAAAGUAUUGAACACUAGGGAUUUACACAACCAUAGAAUGUUGGGUAAAUCAGUUCACAAAUGUGACAAUGGAUUAGACAGCGAGUCAGAGUAAUAAACUAUGGAUCAAAGCCCGUUUUAGAAGCGACCCUUUCAAAUUUUGCUCUCGUGAAUUAAGAAUAUCUACGUGGUUGCUUCAUUUACCGCCUAACUUUGAAGGUCCAGUUGGACUCAGUGCUUUGUUGCCAAUCGAAAAGUAUAGCAAAUAUACCAUUACUCGCUCUACUCUUUACCUCUUGAACCUUUUUCGUCUUUGUAGUGGUUUGAAUGCAAAGAACCUUCAAAGACAAGGGGGUCCUCGAAAGCAUCGAACUGACCACGGAAUCAGUUAUCAAUUAAUCUCCAGUAUCGCGCACCCACAGCUCUUAACGAUUCAAUCGAAAAAUGUACACGGCAAAAUCUCAUAUUUUAGGGAAUGAGAUGAAUACCCGAUGCGGAAAGAAUGUAGACACUGGAGGUGAGGGGUCAUCGAGGUUCGCAUUGCACGCGUCCAAACACAGAUCUUUCGUGUCUUCUUACAGUGAGUAGAAACUAGCCUCCUGAAUUGGAUUCUAAAACAAGUUCCCUGAUGCGCUGAAAGAGCCCUCUGAAUCCGACAGAUUGCUCAAACAUCGUUGCACCUCACACAAAGUGUCAUUGGUAUAGGCAGAUGAAGCUUCGAUUGUCUUACUGCUUGUGGCGGCAGACCGGACUCUCAAAUUGUGAUCUAUUCCAGCAGGGGUCACUAGAUGAAGUGAGCUUGCUUCGCAUCAAGCAACCAGGUUCCAUGGCGCGCUUUCCUGGCGCAUGAUCAAGGUGUGCAACCUUCAACAUGAGGAGAAUCACGACCAAGGUUCAAUCAGUGACCCUUUCUAAUGAGGGCAUCAGCGUUUCUCUGAUCCUCGUUUCGCCGUUACUGGACGGGAUUUUUCGAGGCUGGUCUUGCUGACAGUAGUUCAAACUGUUCCGGGCCUUGUAAUUGGCAAUGAUGAACCGAAUCAGGUGGGCCUUGAGGCGGGGAUGUGGAAACAACUGCGCGAUGCCGCGUGUCGCAGCGCGGCGACGCUUUCGAAAUACUCCGAAACGCAGGCAGUCUAGCAUCAGUCACGCACAAGUGUCGGUAGUCCAUUCUGCGUCCACACUGACCCAACACGAGAUUUGGCCUACGUGAAUGGAUAAAUAUCUUCAUUCCAUCCAUGUGAAGGUGGAAUUUUGAGCCUAGUUCGUUCAUUUCUCACCUGUAUGCUCUGUUGAGUACAUGAAUUCAAGAGUGAUGCAACAGGAACUUAUUUCCUUUUGAAAAGAAGAAAGCGGCGAUGAGUGAAAGAGAAAAUGAGUGUGGAUAGGGCUCUUCUGAAUACAAACUCCUUCAUCGAUGGACGUUUUCUCAACUUUGUCCACAACCACAUU